AGUAGGAGAACUACUUGUGAUGGAAUUGCCUGGUGAAACUUUUCUCUGUCCAAGCACUCCAAAUCUUUAAAGACAAAGAAAACACUGCUCCCCAGUAAAGUGGCAUGCCACCAUGGAAGAAUAAUUUUCCUGUGCCAGGUGGUACUAAGGAACAGGCCAUCCAUGACGAUCUUUGUGAAGAAGGGGGUGAGCGUUUGUGAGCCCAGUGCCUUCAUAGCAGGACAAGAUGGCUACAACCACUCAGCCCUUGGAACUCUUGGUAGCUAAAAGCCUGAGUAAGGCUUGUGGCUGCUUGGUGGAAUGGCUGCCUGCAAGGAAAUAAUCCUUUUGUGGGCUUAUGACACCUGAAGAACAAGGCCCUCCUGAUGGGAAGGACUCCAUGCAAAGUGUCUAAGGCAGAAGCCAGCUUUCAGCUCUGUGAGUCCAGCUUUAUAAGGUUCUAUUUUAAGGAUGAAGAUACCAGAGACUCUGUAAGUUACUGAAUCCAGUCCUUUUCCUGGACUUCUCAAAUACUACUCUUUUGUGCCUGAACAUGUAUUGGUGUGGCUUCAGCAUUUGGAUUGUCCAACCUGACUUCCAUGUUAUCUGGUUGAAUUUUGCUUCUUUGAAUCCUGGACUGUUGUUGAUUCUGCUUUUGAACCACCCUUGGUUGACUAGGCUGCUUUCUGGUUUAGAUGUAGCUUUGGAGUUCAUCUCGAACAGGAAAUGAGGGAUGGAGUAAACAGAGGGAAAUGCUGAAUUGGCACAGAGAUCGAUAAAGAAAUACCAGGAACAGGUUGAAAAAAGGAGAUCCCUGAAUGGAGAAAGUUUCUACCCCUUACAAAGUGGGUACCUCUGUUAUCUAUAAUGUCUGUGGGUGCUGACCAUAUCUGUAAGACUGAAGCAUAGCCAAUUGAAACAUAACAUGGACACUAAGCAGACCCCAAGGUUCAGGGUAUUUGUUUUCUAUACACACCAACAAUGUUUUUAUCCUUGGUACCCCCAAAAUGUGAUUAUAGACUUUUGUAUACUACACUGCAUUACAAAGGCUAGUUUAAGCUAUGUGAAGUUGAGGCUGUUACCUUGUAUUAAGCAUAGGUUUUUAAGGCUGGUAUUAAGUAUAAAAUUCAAACUUUAC